AGCAUGCAAGUCGAGCGGGCUUAUUCGGGCAACUGGAUAAGUUAGCGGCGAACUGGUGAGUAACACGUAGGUAAUCUGCCGUAGAGCGGGGGAUAACCCAUGGAAACAUGGACUAAUACCGCAUAUACUCUUGACACAUAAGUGUAGUAGAGGAAAGGAGCAAUCCGCUUUACGAUGAGCCUGCGGC
rnacentral:rRNA from 1 species